CCUGGAGGUGUCAAAGCUACACAUUGCUUUCACUUUGUAGGUAAAAUGUCCAAUUGCAAGCACAUUAACUGAGCGUUGUCCAAAAACAAAAGGUUUAAAGGUUCCAUUGCUGUUUUGUGGUUUGGUUUUUUGUUUCCUGAUGCAGC